AAUCACGGCGCACCCAGCGUGUGGGCGGGGCCUGCGCGCCGCUUAUCCCGCGGCGGGGCCCGGGUGGUGUCCGUCAGACGUGGGACCGGGACCCCACCGCCUCUUCGGCCGGGUGAUGCUCCCGCUUGGGCGCGAGCGCAGUUGAGUAACUUGACUGAGUUGCGCUCCAGUUCCAUGGCUCACCUUGUGCUGAGCAGAGAGUUCGCUACUUCCAAGACCCUGGAUUUCCUGGGACAUGCUCCUGCUACUUCCUGAAGCCUGGGCACCUUACCUAAACGCUGUGCAGCACAACUCCCCAUGACUCACUGUGCGGCAUGGUGGGCCAGGGUCUGUACGCAAACCUGAUGGAAAGGAACCUGCAGGAUGCUCAGAAGUUCAUUCUGAUGCACGAGGUACAGCCAGUGACCCCAGUGCCCCACUUCAUGGAGGACAACAGCUGCUUUUCCCAUGUGGCCAUGGACGUGGUGCAGGGCCGGGACAUGCUCAUCCACAUCAUCUACUUGGCCACAGAGGUAAUGGUGCAGAAGGAUCAAGUCAACACCAUCCCUUUAUUGCCUGGAUACAACUACCUAUCAGAUGGCGGAUGGGACCAGCUCAGAUUCAAGGACUUGUGACACAUCAUAUUUUACACCCGUCACUGGGAACCAUAUCAAGUCAGGAGACAUUUAUCUGCAGGAGGGGCUGAGGAAAUGCUGUGAUUUGGGCUGAGAGGUGUUUCCAGCUGGUCCUCGGCCUCUGGUUUCUGGAGUUGUCCCUGAAGCCCCGAGGACUCCCUCAUGAGAAGUGGCGCCUUCUUCCUUUGGCAGCACUGAGCCAAGCAGGCUUAAAACUGACAAAAUCAUCUCUAGGAACAGGCUCACUGGCUAAUGCGCUGGCCCUUCUGACUGCACAACUCCUAGACUGUAAGUAGUGAUAAAUUCUGAGAUUUCAGGGAUCAGCUC